CUGAAAGGAUAAUGGUAGAAUCAUUUGAUAAAGAGAUCAUUGUCAGGGGGACAAAUAGAUUAAUUAACCAUUUUAGGAAAAUCUAGGAGUAGAGAUUGAAUUAUACAAUCAGAAACUGCCAAUAUGAAAUAAUUGUGGUACAGAAAAAAACAGAGGAAAUAAAGGAGGGCUGUCAGAAUUCUUUGGUUUCACAGGAUGUGACAACAGAGACAUUGGGUAGAAUAUAUGCCUCAUCUUUUAAGAAAACAGAUGAAGGACCCUGAAAGUGAUUCAGGGAUCAUUGGGGCUAUUAUUCCACUGCAGACCAGGAGGUACAAGCCCUUGGUUUCAUAAAGUGGAACGUGCCCUUGGUUUCAUAAAGUGGAACGUUCCCUCAGUUUCAGCAGGACAGGCACCAACACCAUGGAGAGCUAUAUGGUGGAUCUGCCACAUGGACCCCAGGAAGCCCCCACAUGCCUCUGAGCUGAAGGGGCAGAGAAACCCUGUGGAUCUGUGUAUGUGGCACUGCCACCCAGAGGACUUGAAGAAAAGUCUAGAAACCCAAGAGAAUUAUUGUGAAACCUUAAGAUCCAAUGCAAUUUGACUUGCUGGGACUUGACCUUCUUGGACCUAUCAACCUUUCCUUCCUUCUGAUUGCGCCUUCUAUAAUGGAACUAUUUACCCUAUACUGCACACAUUGUAAUUUAGAAGGAUACAACUUAUUUGGUUUUAAAGAUUCUCAGUUGGAGAGGGAUUUUGCCUCAGAGUGAAUCACACCUUGAGUUUCAUCUAUCUAUGUUUUAGAUGAUAUUUAGAUGAAAUUUUGAACUUUAUACUUGGAGUUGUUGCUGGAAUGAAUGAAGACUUUGGAAAC
rnacentral:lncRNA from 1 species